CGCGACGCAAAACUGCGGACGCCGAGUCCUCCUGCAGGUUCGGCGUUGAUUAGGGGUGGAUAGGGGCCAAAAGAGAGCGAAAGAAGUAGUGUGGUAACUUCGUUACCUAGUUGCGAGGCUCGGCAAAGGGUUUUCAUGAACCGAAGAGCAACGAGGAUUUGCACCGGCGACGGCGGCUCUUCUCUGCGCCUGGAGAGAUCCAAAUCAGGGAUUUCAGGUGGCUAAGCGGCUUGGGGUGCUGCACAGAUGGCAAAAGGGAGUCGUGGCAGAGGGCACGAAGCUUUAUAGCGACCUAGGGCGUAUAUUGGCAAAGAAUCCCGGGAAACCUGGGAUUGGGCACCGGGUUCGUGUCCUGCUCGGCCACGGCUCACGGUAGAAGAAAGGUAGGGAGGAGGAAGACACUGCCGCGUGGGGCCUAGUCGUCAGCGAGAGAGAGAGAGCGGGUCCCAGCUGACAACGAAACAGAGGAAAGGAGGGGGGCGCGCCACUCGGGCCGAACGAGCUGGGCCGGGGUCCGAACAGAGGGAGGGUUUUGGUUUGUUUUUUUUUCUUUUUCUUUUAUUCCAAAGCCAUUUGAAACUCAUUUAAAAAUCCUUUUAAAUUAUUUUGAAUUUUGAGUAAAAAAA
rnacentral:lncRNA from 1 species